AACAAGGUUUCCGUAGGUGAACCUGCGGAAGGAUCAUUAAAGUUCUCCUUUCAAGUUAUAAACAAAAACACAAUAUAUAAAAUACUUAUAUUGUAAAAUUAUGGCAAAUGCCAAAAAGAAACAAAAUAACAAUAAUAAAAAUGUUUAUUAUUGUAUCGCCUCCUAGGCAAAAAAGUAUAGUAUAAAGUGUUUGUGUGUGUUACACAUUACACAAAAAUUGACUUAUUUAUAUAAAAUUUGUAAAAACUGAAAUUGUGUGGACGUUAUACAAAAUUAAUUUGUAUAGAAAAUGUCUAAAAAUUUGAAAUACAUAAAAUUAUAGUUGUACUUGUAUAAAAUUGAAAAGUAAUUUUUUAUAUAAGUCAAUCAUUGUUCGUUUUUNAAGAACUUGAGACAUUCGCAACAAAAAUUUUAUGUUUUAGUUAUAAAAGAGAAGAAUAAUAAGCAAAAAUUAUUGAAGGAAUUGAUAUAUGCCAAUUUGA
rnacentral:rRNA from 1 species